AGUGAACGCUGGCGGCGUGCUUAACACAUGCAAGUCGAACGAGAACGGAAUAUAGCUUGCUAUAUUUGUCAGCUAAGUGGCGCACGGGUGAGUAAUAUAUAGAUAACCUGCCCUUAAGAAAGGAAUAACAGUUGGAAACGACUGCUAAUGCCCUAUAUGCCUUUAAUACAUAAGUAUGCAAGGGAAACGCUUUAGUGCUUAAGGAUGGGUCUGUAUGGUAUCAGCUUGUUGGUGAGGUAAUGGCUCACCAAGGCUAUGACGCCUAACUGGUUUGAGAGGAUAAUCAGUCACACUGGAACUGAGACACGGUCCAGACUCCUACGGGAGGCAGCAGUGGGGAAUAUUGCACAAUGGACGAAAGUCUGAUGCAGCAACGCCGCGUGGAGGAUGACACAUUUCGGUGCGUAAACUCCUUUUAUAUAGGAAGAUAAUGACGGUACUAUAUGAAUAAGCACCGGCUAACUCCGUGCCAGCCGCCGCGGUAACAC
rnacentral:rRNA from 1 species